rnacentral:rRNA from 1 species
UACGUAGGGUGCGAGCGUUGUUCGGAAUUACUGGGCGUAAAGCGCACGUAGGCGGCUUUGUAAGUUAGAGGUGAAAGCCCAGGGCUUAACCCUGGAAUUGCCUUUAAGACUGCAUCGCUCGAAUUGUGGAGAGGUGAGUGGAAUUCCGAGUGUAGAGGUGAAAUUCGUAGAUAUUCGGAAGAACACCAGUGGCGAAGGCGACUCACUGGACACAUAUUGACGCUGAGGUGCGAAAGCGUGGGGAGCAAACAGG